CCUACGGGUGGCAGCAGUGAGGAAUAUUGGUCAAUGGGCGCGAGCCUGAACCAGCCAAGCCGCGUGAAGGAAGACUGCCCUAUGGGUUGUAAACUUCUUUUAUAAAGGAAUAAAGUCAGGCACGUGUGCCUUUCUGUAUGUACUUUAUGAAUAAGGAUCGGCUAACUCCGUGCCAGCAGCCGCGGUAAUACGGAGGAUCCGAGCGUUAUCCGGAUUUAUUGGGUUUAAAGGGUGCGUAGGUGGUUUGUUAAGUCAGUUGUGAAAGUUUGCGGCUCAACCGUAUAAUUGCAAUUGAUACUGGCAGCCUUGAGUACAGUUGAGGUAGGCGGAAUGCGUGGUGUAGCGGUGAAAUGCUUAGAUAUCACGAAGAACUCCGAUUGCGAAGGCAGCUUACUAAACUGCCACUGACAUUGAUGCUCGAAAGUGUGGGUAUCAAACAGGAUUAGAUACCCGGGUAGUC
rnacentral:rRNA from 1 species